GACGAACGCUGGCGGCGUGCUUAACACAUGCAAGUCGAACGGAAAGGCCUGCUUUCCCUUGUGGAUUGCGGGUACUCGAGUGGCGAACGGGUGAGUAACACGUGAGUGAUCUGCCCCCAACUUGGGUAUAAGCCUGGGAAACUGGGUCUAAUUCCCGAUAGGACUGCAGGGUGGUGCCUGUGGUGGAAAACGAUUUUCUAGUGGUUGGGGAUGAGCUCGCGGCCUAUCAGCUUGUUGGUGGGGUAAUGGCCUACCAAGGCGGCGACGGGGAGCCGGCCUGGGAGGGUAGACGGCCACAUUGGGACUGAGAUACGGCCCAGACUCCUACGGGAGGCAGCAGUGGGGAAUAUUGCACAAUGGGCGGAAGCCUGAUGCAGCGACGCAGCGUGGGGGAUGACGGCCUUCAGGUUGUAAACUCCUUUCGGCCGCGAGGAAGCCACCUGGUUGGAAGGGUGGUGACGGUAGUGGUAGAAGAAGCACCGGCUAACUACGUG
rnacentral:rRNA from 1 species